rnacentral:rRNA from 1 species
GAUGAACGCUGGCGGCGUGCCUAAUACAUGCAAGUCGAGCGAACGGACGAGAAGCUUGCUUCUCUGAUGUUAGCGGCGGACGGGUGAGUAACACGUGGAUAACCUACCUAUAAGACUGGGAUAACUUCGGGAAACCGGAGCUAAUACCGGAUGAUAUUUUGAACCGCAUGGUUCAAAAGUGAAAGACGGUCUUGCUGUCACUUAUAGAUGGAUCCGCGCUGCAUUAGCUAGUUGGUAAGGUAAUGGCUUACCAAGGCAACGAUGCAUAGCCGACCUGAGAGGGUGAGCGGCCACACUGGAACUGAGACACGGUCCAGACUCCUACGGGAGGCAGCAGUAGGGAAUCUUCCGCAAUGGGCGAAAGCCUGACGGAGCAACGCCGCGUGAGUGAUGAAGGUCUUCGGAUCGUAAAACUCUGUUAUUAGGGAAGAACAUAUGUGUAAGUAACUGUGCACAUCUUGACGGUACCUAAUCAGAAAGCCACGGCUAACUACGUG